UAAGGGCGCACGGUGGAUGCCUUGGCACUAGAAGCCGAUGAAGGACGUUACUAACGACGAUAUGCUUUGGGGAGCUGUAAGUAAGCUUUGAUCCAGAGAUUUCCGAAUGGGGAAACCCAGCAUGAGUUAUGUCAUGUUAUCGAUAUGUGAAUACAUAGCAUAUCAGAAGGCACACCCGGAGAACUGAAACAUCUUAGUACCCGGAGGAAGAGAAAGAAAAUUCGAUUCCCUUAGUAGCGGCGAGCGAAACGGGAAGAGCCCAAACCAACAAGCUUGCUUGUUGGGGUUGUAGGACACUCUAUACGGAGUUACAAAGGACGACAUUAGACGAAUCAUCUGGAAAGAUGAAUCAAAGAAGGUAAUAAUCCUGUAGUCGAAAAUGUUGUCUCUCUUGAGUGGAUCCUGAGUACGACGGAGCACGUGAAAUUCCGUCGGAAUCUGGGAGGACCAUCUCCUAAGGCUAAAUACUCUCUAGUGACCGAUAGUGAACCAGUACCGUGAGGGAAAGGUGAAAAGCACCCCGGAAGGGGAGUGAAAUAGAACCUGAAACCGUGUGCUUACAAGUAGUCAGAGCCCGUUAAUGGGUGAUGGCGUGCCUUUUGUAGAAUGAACCGGCGAGUUACGAUUUGAUGCAAGGUUAAGCAGUAAAUGUGGAGCCGUAGCGAAAGCGAGUCUGAAUAGGGCGUUUAGUAUUUGGUCGUAGACCCGAAACCAGGUGAUCUACCCUUGGUCAGGUUGAAGUUCAGGUAACACUGAAUGGAGGACCGAACCG
rnacentral:rRNA from 1 species